CACACACUUAAACUUUUCCUAGGAUUUCUAAAAAACUUCUAUGAAUAUACUCAGAAAAGAAACCGCAAAGACUGUUAAAAAAAUCUUCUAUGUACCUCUUAUCAGAGUAUGGUGCUUCCCAAUUCUUCAUAUUUUUAGUGUAGAAAAACUAUUGUUUUUUUAUAGCCAACAGUGAUUUCUAUAAAACGUGGCUAAGAAUGAUGUUUUUGCUAAAAUGGAAGCCAAACUGCUGAGGAUUGAGCCCAUUUGGAAGGCUUUCAUGUUCUUUUAAAAAUUAUAAAUAAGCGUAUGUUCUCUGCCUAUAAAAAGUAUUACUAUAUUUGAUACACUCUAAGAUGCCAUCAAUUGUGAGACAAAACAUUAUUUUACAUAGCACUGCAAAAGAUCACUGCUGCUAAUUUAACUGUAAUUCACAUUUGACCUGAGAGAUGUUAAAAUGUGAAAAAAAAAUGUGUACCUGGGAAUUGAUGCAAUAUGGUAGUUAUGUUCCAGUUCUUGCAACUGUUAAUAUUUAGAGAAAAAAUUAUUUCAUAGGCUGAGUGAUCAAUAGUUGGUUGAGUUUUAUGAUAAAGUAUAACUGUAGAUGGGUAAGUUCAUUUAAUUUCUAGCCACUAUUUAAAUAAAUUGUACACAAAGCUAGCUUUGUCCUCUUUCAUCCUGGUCUCCCUACACUUCUCUCCUCUUUUGUUUUCCUCUGAGGUACAGGCAUCCUCUGACACUUUUCUAUAUGCCGGUGGGGUCGUUGGUAAGGGUAAAACAGUGCUGCUUCUUGAUCAGAAAUGUACUUUCAUCUUAUGUUAUACAAGGAAAUAAGAAUUUAUUUUAAAAUAAUUAUGACUCAAAAUAAUUGGUCAAAAUGUUUAAGGUUAUUGAAACAGUAAUAUUUUGUUUAUAGUUUGUUAAAUGCAUGAAUUUGACUUUUAUUCCUUAUAUUUCUAAGAAAUAUAACUUUGAAAUGGCAAAUAAUAGAAAGAAAACACGCAUUUGUUUUCAAAGAAGGAAGUUUUAUGUAAGACUCUGUUGUUCCUUUUUUCUAUCCACUAGAGCUUAGGAAAAUUACAGCAUUGACAACUCCGGGGAGGAGCCCAUGCUGCUGAUGGUGUUUUUAAGGCUUUAGAUGAAGUCUUGACAUCUUGCUGGUAUUUCCAGCUAUUUGUCUUUACAUUGUGCACAGGGCUUUCUGGAGCCCAUCUUUUGACCAGGAGAUGGAAAUUGCAGGAGAAUAGGAGCAUCCUAAAUGCUACUUUUUUUAAAAAAAGGAUACAGUGUAAUUCUUAUUAAGUGAGGGUGUUUAUGUACAAAUAUGUUUUUAAAUUAUUUGCAAUGUUAGAAGGUUAGAAAUUACUAAUGACAAUCCCUCCUUUUAUAAUUUGCUUAUGUUUGAUAAGAUAUCAGAAUAAAAAAAGCUACACUUGAUCUUAGCCAAAAGGCUGAGAAGCAAUAAAAAUGAUGGUUUUAUUUUUCCUUUUCUUUCACUCAUAUCUCCUGUUGCUAUUUACCUGUGGGCAUUUAAAAAUAAUUUGCUUAACAAUAUAAAAAGCAAAAUUUAAAAAAAAUUGUGUGUGUGUAAAACAGAUCCAUGCAAAUCCAAAAUUAAAUUAUUUCAGGGCAUUUGAAGCCUGUUGUCUAUGAUUUCAGCCUAUACUCAACCUCAGCAGGUGAAAUCAUAUGGGCGCAUUUGUGAUGUAGUUCCUGAUGAAUGGCACCUGUCACAAAGGAAGUCAAAGCUUUCUUUGACAAUGCUGCACGUGCCUGGCAGAGCAUGCAGGGAGGCUUUGGGCAAGAGAAUCCAAGAAGCUUUGCCCGUUCUAAGAAGAACAAUCUCUGUGAAAUGGAAACACAUCCCAAAGAAACAUUUGGUUUCUGUGUUGAGACUUUGAGCCUGCUGUUUGAACAUCUGCUGCAUUUUCCCUUCUAUUUCAGAGCAUUUGCACCUACAUCCCUACAUCCGUGGUGGAUGCCCCAGCUUCCGACUGUCUGAGAUUGUAGUUAUAACACCAAAAUAUUCAUGAGGACAAACUAUUUCUUCAAGUACCAAAAAGAUUUUAGAUUCUUGUCUAUGAUUCUCCAAGGAAUUUUUAGUAGAAAAGAAGUGUCUCAAGAGGCUUUAGACAUUACAGAGGCUGCAACUGUGAUCCCUUAGGGCCUCAUAGAGCCAGCACUUAGCUUCUCUGAAAGAGAUCUUAAUAAAAUCCACACAGCGUGAAAUGGAAAGUCUAGGGGAAAAAAUGAAGAGUUUUCACAAAGUGAAACAAAUGAGCUUUCUUUGUUGAUUCACAGGAGGAAAGAAAUCCAACAGCAGCAGCAGCAAAACCAUUGAUAAGUAGUGGGUGCAUCUUGUUUGAAGUUGGGUUUUGUUCACUGUCAUCUAAAAAACACUGCUUUUUAGCCUUUGGAAAUGAGAUAAUGAAGACAAAAAUUGUUAUUUCAUAUUCAGUCAUUGAGAUUUAAAGCACGAAUGCCUGUCCAUUUUUGGGGACUUAACUCUGCCCAGUAGAGGAGUUUGAAUGCUUACAAGAAGGUUUUUUUUUUUUUUUUCAGUCUUUGAAAUAAAAACUACUAUAAACUUCA